rnacentral:rRNA from 1 species
UACGAAGGGGGCUAGCGUUGUUCGGAAUUACUGGGCGUAAAGCGUAUGCAGGCGGACUUUUAAGUCUGUCGUGAAAUCCCCGGGCUCAACCUGGGAAUGGCGAUGGAUACUGGGCAGCUAGAGUGUGUCAGAGGAUGGUGGAAUUCCCGGUGGAGCGGUGAAAUGCGUAGAGAUCGGGAAGAACGCCAAGGGCGAAGGCACUCUGCUAGGCCUGAUUUCGCGACUGACACUCAGGGACGAGAGCCAGGGGAGCGAAUGGG